CAUUUUAGCCCUCCCAUGUGCAGAGUUAGUGCAAACGUGCUCUAUUGAUUAGAGGGAAGCUAUUACGUCAUUUGUGAGGAAGAAAAUCUUUUUACUUCUGAUUGAAAGUUUUGGGAACUUGCUCAAAAACUGCCUCAACGCCGCAAUGUGCCGGGUAUUGUGUACCACAUUGAUAUUUGAGUCAGUUUCAUAAAGAACUUUGACACAACAUGGAGAAAAGUACAAUUCUGGAAAUGUGUCGAAAACACGUUCUGCCCUAAUCUCAUUAGUUUCACAAAAGUUACAUGCAAUUUUCUAGCACUUGUGCACACUCAAUAAAAAGAUUACAAAACCGGAGAGCUCACGAAUUGGCCUGCUAAAAUGGGAUUACUGUAAUGACAUCAAGUACAUUUCUUAUUUUAGCACCCCUCCUCAAAUGGCCCAAGGCACUGCUCGCCUCAGUCCGAAUCGUGUCAAUCCUGAUUAAGAGGUGUCAAAACACACGUCGUAAAGCUCGGAUGAUGAUAG
ensembl:ncRNA F33A8.13 ncRNA